AAUCACAUGCUUCAAUGCAAAGUGAUAAUUAUAGCCGAGAAAAAUGAGGUGGAAAUAUUUGGCCUCAUUCGUGUCAAACCCUUUGCUGGAGAAGGUUAGUCCCGCGUCUUCAAUUUGUGAUUAAUUAUUUAUCGAAGAUCUUUUAAAGCGAUUUUUUUGAUAGAAAAUGUGCUGGGGGCUUAAUUUUUUCGUUUCAAAGUUGAUUAUCGAAAAAAAUGAACAUGUUGCGAGCGGGAAUGAGACUUGGGCGUGCAGCAAGAGUUAAAGAAACUGGUGCUCGAAUUCCAAGAAGAAGACGACGGCACUCGGAAGAUUUGCAUCUUAUGACAAAUUCUUACAAAGUUUUUUGCUUCGUACUUUGUACUUUAGAAAUUUUGCUGAAGGCCUUGUUCUCUCUCUUGAUCAAAAUUUCUUCAUUGUGUUUCAAAGUAUUUAAAAAACAAACGAAAUAUGUUUGGAUGCAAAUUUUGAAAAUUGUUGAGGAUCAAGCUCUUCAAGUGGUUGCAGGUUUGUUGAGUUUAUAAUUUAAACAAAUUUUUUUUAUUUUUUCCUGGAAGUAUUCAAAAUUUUGAUUUUUUAUAAUUGUAGGAUACAGCCUUUUUUUAGGAGAGCUCAGUGAAUGUUAUAACCACAAUCCAUGAUUUGAGGAAGAAUCAUUUUGGAAAAUGAUUAUUGUUGACUUUGUGGAUUAUUAAGAAGACAAUAUGAAACUGAUGAAGAUGGACCAAGUCUUGGCGGAGAAUUUAAAUUGAAGGCAUGAGGAUGUUAAUGACCUGGGAAUCGUUUAUAGUUUCAGGACUGCCCGUUUCAUGUAAGAAGGAUGUGAAUCAAUAAAGAAUUAUAAAGCCAAGAAAACUUCUGGAUAUCUUUUAUAGUUUCAGGACUGCUCUUUUCAUGUAAGAAGGAAGUGAAUAUAAUAAAAAAUAUAAAAUCCAAGAAGACUAUUCUGGAGAUCUUUUAUGGUUUCAGGAACUGUCCUUUUCACGUGAGAAGCGAUGUGAAUACAAUAAAAAUAUAAAAGCCAAGAAGACUGCUUUGGAAAUCGUUUAUAGGACUGCCCGUUGUUUUAUGUAAGAAGACUAUUCUGGAGAUCUUUUAUAGUUCCAGGAUUGUCCGAUCCGUUUGUAAAGGAAAGAGUGGAUACAGUAAAAAAUAUAUAAUUCGAGGAGAGACAUCCAAAAUAGAAAAGAGAAGACGGUUUGACUAGAGUUUCACUUUUUUUCCGCCGAACGAGAAAAAGUGUAUUUAUUUCACUUAAUUAGGAAAAAAAAUUA